AGAUUGAACGCUGGCGGCAUGCCUUACACAUGCAAGUCGAACGGUAGAGUAGCAAUACUCGAGAGUGGCGAACGGGUGAGUAAUAUAUCGGAACGUGCCCAGUCGUGGGGGAUAACGUAGAGAAAUUUACGCUAAUACCGCAUACGAUCUAAGGAUAGAAAGGCGGGGAUCGCAAGACCUCGCGCGAUUGGAGCGGCUGAUAUCAGUAUUAGGUUGUUGGUAGGAAGGUAAAAGCUACGACCAAGCCGACGAUCGUGUAGCUUGGUUAGAGAAGAACCGACC
rnacentral:rRNA from 1 species